rnacentral:tRNA from 4 species
UCCUCGGUAGCUCAACGGUAGAGCAUCCGGCUGUUAACCGGAGGGUUGCAGGUUCGAAUCCCGCCCGGGGAGCCA